rnacentral:rRNA from 1 species
GACGAACGCUGGCGGCGCGCUUAACACAUGCAAGUCGAGCGAGAACCGAUCCUUCGGGAUCGGGGAAAGCGGCGAACGGGUGAGUAACACGUGAGUAAUCCACCCUCGGCACCGGGAUAGCCCGGGGAAACUCGGAUUAAUACCGGAUGGCCCAGCAGCUCUUCGGGGUGGCUGGAAAAGGUGCUUCGGCCUCCGGCCGGGGACGAGCUCGCGGCGGAUUAGCUUGUUGGUGGGGUAACGGCCUACCAAGGCGACGAUCCGUAGCUGGUCUGAGAGGACGAUCAGCCACACUGGGACUGAGACACGGCCCAGACUCCUACGGGAGGCAGCAGGUGGGGAAUCUUGCACAAUGGGCGAAAGCCUGAUGCAGCGACGCCGCGUGAGGGAAGAAGGUC